rnacentral:rRNA from 1 species
GGCCCGUCCGAGUUGUAAUCUAGAGAAGCGUCUUCCGCGCUGGACCGUGUACAAGUCUCCUCGAAGGGAGCAUCGCAGAGGGUGUCAAUCCCGUCUCUGACACGGACUACCAGGGCUAUGUGAUGCGCUCUCGACGAGUCGAGUUGUUUGGGAAUGCAGCUCAAAUAGGGUGGUAAACUCCAUCUAAAGCUAAAUACUGGCGAGAGACCGAUAGCGAACAAGUACCGUGAGGGAAAGAUGAAAAGAACUUUGGAAAGAGAGUUAAACAGUACGUGAAAUUGCUGGAAGGGAAACGCUUGAAGGCAGUCGCAUCUGUCAGGGAUCAACCCUUGCUAUUCUUUGGCUGGGGCGUAUUUCCUGGUUGGAUGGGUCAGCAUCGAUUUCGGCCGUCGGAGAAGGUUGGGAGGAAAGUGGCACUCCACGGAGUGUGUUAUAGCCUCUCGUACUGGCGCGACGACGGGGAUCGAGGAACUUGGUCGCAUGACCUAGGAUGUUGGCAUAAUGUCUUCAAGCGACCCGUCUUGAAACACGGACCAAGGAGUCUAACAUGCCUGCGAGUGUUUGGGUGGCAAACCCGAGUGCGAAAUGAAAGUGAAAGUCGAGACCUCUGUCGUGGAGGGCACCGACGCCCGGCCCAGCACCUUUGGUUAUGGAUCUGCGGUAUAGCAUGCAUGUUGGGACCCGAAAGAUGGUGAACUAUGCCUGAAUAGGGUGAAGCCAGAGGAAACUCUGGUGG